rnacentral:rRNA from 1 species
UACGUAGGGUGCAAGCGUUGUCCGGAAUUAUUGGGCGUAAAGAGCUCGUAGGCGGUUUGUCGCGUCUGCUGUGAAAACGCGAGGCUCAACCUCGCGCCUGCAGUGGGUACGGGCAGACUAGAGUGUGGUAGGGGAGAUUGGAAUUCCUGGUGUAGCGGUGGAAUGCGCAGAUAUCAGGAGGAACACCGAUGGCGAAGGCAGAUCUCUGGGCCAUUACUGACGCUGAGGAGCGAAGGCGUGGGGAGCGAACAGG